GCCCGGGUGGUCUAGUUGGCUAUGAUUCUCGCUUAGGGCCUUAACCCUAAGUAACUUAUAUGCGAGAGGUCCCGCGUUCGAAUCGCGGCUCGGGCC